rnacentral:rRNA from 1 species
UGAGGAAUAUUGCGCAAUGGACGGAAGUCUGACGCAGCAAUGCCGCGUGCGGGAAGAAGGCGCUAUGCGUCGUAAACCGCUGUAGCGUGGGGCAAAAAGCACCCUCGGGGUGUGAGAUGGUACCACGAAAGUAAGCAUCGGCUAACUACGUGCCAGCAGCCGCGGUAAUACGUAGGAUGCAAGCGUUGUCCGGAUUUACUGGGUGUAAAGGGUGCGCAGGCGGGCUUGUAAGUCAGAGGUGAAAGCCCGGAGCUUAACUCCGGAAAUGCCUUUGAUACUGCGAGUCUUGAAUAUGAGAGAGGUUCAUGGAAUAUGUGGUGUAGCGGUGAAAUGCGUAGAUAUCACAUAGAACACCAGUGGCGAAGGCGGUGAACUGGCUCAUUAUUGACGCUCAUGCACG